CACGUAGUUAGCCGUGGCUUUCUCAUAAGGUACCGUCAAUUGAUAGUCAUUUCCUCCUAUCACCUUUCUUCCCUUAUAACAGAAUUUUACAACCCGAAGGCCUUCUUCAUUCACGCGGCGUUGCUCGGUCAGGCUUUCGCCCAUUGCCGAAGAUUCCCUACUGCUGCCUCCCGCAGGAGUCUGGGCCGUGUCUCAGUCCCAGUGUGGCCGUUCACCCUCUCAGGUCGGCUACGCAUCGUCGCCUUGGUAGGCCUUUACCCCACCAACUAGCUAAUGCGCCGCAGGCUCAUCCAUCAGUGAUGCCAGGAGCAUCUUUAAACUUUCGUCCUAUCCGGUAUUAGCGAUCGUUUCCAAUCGUUGUCCCCGUCUGAUGGGCAGAUCACCUACGUGUUACUCACCCGUUCGCCGCUUCCCACCGAAGUGGUUCGCUCGACUUGCAUGUAUUAGGCACGCCGCCAGCGUUCAUCCUGAGCCAGGAUCAAACUCU
rnacentral:rRNA from 1 species